UACAGCCUUGCUGAAUUAUUCACCCUUGUCUUUUGCGUACUUCUUGUUUCCUUGGUGGGUUCGCCCACCACUAGGACAAACAUAAACCUUUUGUAAUUGCAAUCAGCGUCGGUAACAAAUUAAUAAUUACAACUUUCAACAACGGAUCUCUUGGUUCUGGCAUCGAUGAAGAACGCAGCGAAAUGCGAUAAGUAGUGUGAAUUGCAGAAUUCAGUGAAUCAUCGAAUCUUUGAACGCACAUUGCGCCCUUUGGUAUUCCAAAGGGCAUGCCUGUUCGAGCGUCAUUUGUACCCUCAAGCUUUGCUUGGUGUUGGGCGUCUUGUCUCUAGCUUUGCUGGAGACUCGCCUUAAAGUAAUUGGCAGCCGGCCUACUGGUUUCGGAGCGCAGCACAAGUCGCACUCUCUAUCAGCAAAGGUCUAGCAUCCAUUAAGCCUUUUUUUCAACUUUUGACCUCGGAUCAGGUAGGGAUACCCGCUGAACUUAA
rnacentral:rRNA from 1 species